CCAUGGUUGUGGCUCAGUGGUAGAGCACUUGCCUAGCAUGCGUGAGGCACUGGAUUCGAUCCCUGGUACCAUGUU
rnacentral:tRNA from 1 species